rnacentral:rRNA from 1 species
UAGGGAAUCUUCCGCAAUGGACGAAAGUCUGACGGAGCAACGCCGCGUGAGUGAUGAAGGUUUUCGGAUCGUAAAACUCUGUUAUUAGGGAAGAACAAAUGCGUAAGUAACUGUGCGCAUCUUGACGGUACCUAAUCAGAAAGCCACGGCUAACUACGUGCCAGCAGCCGCGGUAAUACGGAGGUGGCAAGCGUUAUCCGGAAUUAUUGGGCGUAAAGCGCGCGUAGGCGGUUUCUUAAGUCUGAUGUGAAAGCCCACGGCUCAACCGUGGAGGGUCAUUGGAAACUGGGAAACUUGAGUACAGAAGAGGAAAGUGGAAUUCCAUGUGUAGCGGUGAAAUGCGCAGAGAUAUGGAGGAACACCAGUGGCGAAGGCGACUUUCUGGUCUGUAACUGACGCUGAUGUGCGAAAGCGUGGGGAUCAAACA